GGGCGUUUAGUAUUUGGUCGUAGACCCGAAACCAGGUGAUCUACCCUUGGUCAGGUUGAAGUUCAGGUAACACUGAAUGGAGGACCGAACCGACUUACGUUGAAAAGUGAGCGGAUGAACUGAGGGUAGCGGAGAAAUUCCAAUCGAACCUGGAGAUAGCUGGUUCUCUCCGAAAUAGCUUUAGGGCUAGCCUCAAGUGAUGAUUAUUGGAGGUAGAGCACUGUUUGGACGAGGGGCCCCUCUCGGGUUACCGAAUUCAGACAAACUCCGAAUGCCAAUUAAUUUAACUUGGGAGUCAGAACAUGGGUGAUAAGGUCCGUGUUCGAAAGGGAAACAGCCCAGACCACCAGCUAAGGUCCCAAAAUAUAUGUUAAGUGGAAAAGGAUGUGGCGUUGCCCAGACAACUAGGAUGUUGGCUUAGAAGCAGCCAUCAUUUAAAGAGUGCGUAAUAGCUCACUAGUCGAGUGACACUGCGCCGAAAAUGUACCGGGGCUAAACAUAUUACCGAAGCUGUGGAUUGUCCUUUGGACAAUGGUAGGAGAGCGUUCUAAGGGCGUUGAAGCAUGAUCGUAAGGACAUGUGGAGCGCUUAGAAGUGAGAAUGCCGGUGUGAGUAGCGAAAGACGGGUGAGAAUCCCGUCCACCGAUUGACUAAGGUUUCCAGAGGAAGGCUCGUCCGCUCUGGGUUAGUCGGGUCCUAAGCUGAGGCCGACAGGCGUAGGCGAUGGAUAACAGGUUGAUAUUCCUGUACCACCUAUAAUCGUUUUAAUCGAUGGGGGGACGCAGUAGGAUAGGCGAAGCGUGCGAUUGGAUUGCACGUCUAAGCAGUAAGGCUGAGUAUUAGGCAAAUCCGGUACUCGUUAAGGCUGAGCUGUGAUGGGGAGAAGACAUUGUGUCUUCGAGUCGUUGAUUUCACACUGCCGAGAAAAGCCUCUAGAUAGAAAAUAGGUGCCCGUACCGCAAACCGACACAGGUAGUCAAGAUGAGAAUUCUAAGGUGAGCGAGCGAACUCUCGUUAAGGAACUCGGCAAAAUGACCCCGUAACUUCGGGAGAAGGGGUGCUCUUUAGGGUUAACGCCCAGAAGAGCCGCAGUGAAUAGGCCCAAGCGACUGUUUAUCAAAAACACAGGUCUCUGCU
rnacentral:rRNA from 1 species